UACGUAGGGUGCAAGCUUGUCCGGAAUUAUUGGGCGUAAAGAGCUCGUAGGCGGUCUGUUGCGUCGGCUGUGAAAACCCGGGGCUCAACCCCGGGCCUGCAGCCGAUACGGGCAGACUAGAGUUCGGCAGGGGAGACUGGAAUUCCUGGUGUAGCGGUGAAAUGCGCAGAUAUCAGGAGGAACACCGGUGGCGAAGGCGGGUCUCUGGGCAGUAACUGACGCUGAGGAGCGAAAGCGUGGGUAGCAAACAGG
rnacentral:rRNA from 1 species